GUCGUAACAAGGUUUCCGUAGGUGAACCUGCGGAAGGAUCAUUUUCGAUGCCUCAACCGAGCAAAACCCGUGCAUCUGUUCCAAAUCUCGGGGAGUUCGUAGUUGCCAUUGCAGCUCGAAUGCUCCACGAAAUGUGGGGUCUUGCAUGCCCUUCGGGGAUCUGUCCCUACAAAAACAACAAACCCCGGCGCGGAACGCGUCAAGGAAUUAACAAACGUACAGUGCGUCCUGUCGAGCCCGGAAGCGGUGGUCGAUGGGGCCGUGUCACUAUAAUUGAGUCUAUAAUGACUCUCGGCAACGGAUAUCUCGGCUCUUGCAUCGAUGAAGAACGUAGCGAAAUGCGAUACUUGGUGUGAAUUGCAGAAUCCCGUGAACCAUCGAGUCUUUGAACGCAAGUUGCGCCCGAAGCCAUUAGGCCAAGGGCACGCCUGCCUGGGUGUCACCAAUCGCCACCCCCAACUCAGUGCCACUGGCGCGGAAGAUGGGAGAAUGAUGGCUUCCCGUGAGCUACUGCUCGCGGUUGGUUGAAAACACUAUCCGAGCCGGCGUACAGCUCCGUGACACUUGGUGGUUGAGUUUAGAUCUCGAGGCCAGUCAUGGGUGCCGAAGGCGGCUCUGGAAAAUGAUGACCCUUUUAGCGGCUUACGCCGCUCAUGAUGCGACCUCAGGUCAGGCGGU
rnacentral:misc_RNA from 1 species